rnacentral:rRNA from 1 species
GGCGAGUUACGAUCCCGUGCGAGGUUAAGCUGAAGAGGCGGAGCCGCAGCGAAAGCGAGUCUGAAUAGGGCGUUUAGUACGUGGUCGUAGACCCGAAACCAGGUGAUCUACCCAUGUCCAGGGUGAAGUUCAGGUAACACUGAAUGGAGGCCCGAACCCACGCACGUUGAAAAGUGCGGGGAUGAGGUGUGGGUAGCGGAGAAAUUCCAAUCGAACCUGGAGAUAGCUGGUUCUCCCCGAAAUAGCUUUAGGGCUAGCCUUAAGUGUAAGAGUCUUGGAGGUAGAGCACUGAUUGGACUAGGGGUCCUCAUCGGAUUACCGAAUUCAGUCAAACUCCGAAUGCCAAUGACUUAUCCUUAGGAGUCAGACUGCGAGUGAUAAGAUCCGUAGUCAAAAGGGAAACAGCCCAGACCGCCAGCUAAGGUCCCAAAGUGUGUAUUAAGUGGAAAAGGAUGUGGAGUUGCUUAGACAACUAGGAUGUUGGCUUAGAAGCAGCCACCAUUUAAAGAGUGCGUAAUAGCUCACUAGUCGAGUGACUCUGCGCCGAAAAUGUACCGGGGCUAAAUACACCACCGAAGCUGCGGAUUGAUACCAAUGGUAUCAGUGGUAGGGGAGCGUUCUAAGGACAGUGAAGUCAGACCGGAAGGACUGGUGGAGUGCUUAGAAGUGAGAAUGCCGGUAUGAGUAGCGAAAGACGGGUGAGAAUCCCGUCCACCGAAUGCCUAAGGUUUCCUGAGGAAGGCUCGUCCGCUCAGGGUUAGUCAGGACCUAAGCCGAGGCCGACAGGCGUAGGCGAUGGACAACAGGUUGAUAUUCCUGUACCACCUCUUUAUCGUUUGAGCAAUGGAGGGACGCAGAAGGAUAGAAGAAGCGUGCGAUUGGUUGUGCACGUCCAAGCAGUUAGGCUGAUAAGUAGGCAAAUCCGCUUAUCGUGAAGGCUGAGCUGUGAUGGGGAAGCUCCUUAUGGAGCGAAGUCUUUGAUUCCCCGCUGCCAAGAAAAGCUUCUAGCGAGAUAAAAGGUGCCUGUACCGCAAACCGACACAGGUAGGCGAGGAGAGAAUCCUAAGGUGUGCGAGAGAACUCUGGUUAAGGAACUCGGCAAAAUGACCCCGUAACUUCGGGAGAAGGGGUGCUUUCUUAACGGAAAGCCGCAGUGAAUAGGCCCAAGCGACUGUUUAGCAAAAACACAGCUCUCUGCGAAGCCGUAAGGCGAAGUAUAGGGGGUGACACCUGCCCGGUGCUGGAAGGUUAAGGAGAGGGGUUAGCGUAAGCGAAGCUCUGAACUGAAGCCCCAGUAAACGGCGGCCGUAACUAUAACGGUCCUAAGGUAGCGAAAUUCCUUGUCGGGUAAGUUCCGACCCGCACGAAAGGUGUAACGAUUUGGGCACUGUCUCAACCAGAGACUCGGUGAAAUUAUAGUACCUGUGAAGAUGCAGGUUACCCGCGACAGGACGGAAAGACCCCGUGGAGCUUUACUGUAGCCUGAUAUUGAAUUUUGGUACAGUUUGUACAGGAUAGGCGGGAGCCUUUGAAACCGGAGCGCUAGCUUCGGUGGAGGCGCUGGUGGGAUACCGCCCUGACUGUAUUGAAAUUCUAACCUACGGGUCUUAUCGACCCGGGAGACAGUGUCAGGUGGGCAGUUUGACUGGGGCGGUCGCCUCCUAAAGUGUAACGGAGGCGCCCAAAGGUUCCCUCAGAAUGGUUGGAAAUCAUUCGUAGAGUGCAAAGGCAUAAGGGAGCUUGACUGCGAGACCUACAAGUCGAGCAGGGACGAAAGUCGGGCUUAGUGAUCCGGUGGUUCCGCAUGGAAGGGCCAUCGCUCAACGGAUAAAAGCUACCCCGGGGAUAACAGGCUUAUCUCCCCCAAGAGUCCACAUCGACGGGGAGGUUUGGCACCUCGAUGUCGGCUCAUCGCAUCCUGGGGCUGUAGUCGGUCCCAAGGGUUGGGCUGUUCGCCCAUUAAAGCGGUACGCGAGCUGGGUUCAGAACGUCGUGAGACAGUUCGGUCCCUAUCCGUCGUGGGCGUAGGAAAUUUGAGAGGAGCUGUCCUUAGUACGAGAGGACCGGGAUGGACGCACCGCUGGUGUACCAGUUGUUCUGCCAAGGGCAUAGCUGGGUAGCUAUGUGCGGAAGGGAUAAGUGCUGAAAGCAUCUAAGCAUGAAGCCCCCCUCAAGAUGAGAUUUCCCAUAGCGUAAGCUAGUAAGAUCCCUGAAAGAUGAUCAGGUUGAUAGGUUCGAGGUGGAAGCAUGGUGACAUGUGGAGCUGACGAAUACUAAUAGAUCGAGGACUUAACCAUAUAA